AUAAGGUUAAGUUAAUAAGGGCGCACGGUGGAUGCCUUGGCACUAGAAGCCGAUGAAGGACGUGACUAACGACGAAAUGCUUUGGGGAGCUGUAAGUGAGCAAUGAUCCAGAGAUGU
rnacentral:rRNA from 1 species